AAUAACAAAAUAGUUUUUUUCAAAUUAUUCUUCUCAAUAACAUUUAAAAUUAUAUUUUUUUUCAGAAAAAUAGUUUUAGGCUCUGAAGCUCAAUAUCAAAAGGGACAUAAGCAACUUAAGAACUACUUCUUCACUUUCAAUAAAUUAACAUAAUAUAAGCGUAAAUUAUUUUUUAAUUUUUGAAUUAUCUCUUAAUUAAUACAUUAUCUUAAUUAAUACAUUUAUUCCUCUAUUUUAAAACUCAAUAAUUUCGUCCUUAAAUUUUAAUUCCGUCACACAAAACAUCCUCCUGACCGUAAAAUCUAUUAAAGUCAAUGGUUUGGAGUUAGUAAAAGGAAACAGAAAAAAAAUUUUAAUCCAAAAACACCAUUAAAGCAUAACUUUGUUCCUCACCCAUCUCAACAAAAGGAGAGAAACCCUAGGUGUAUUUCUUGGUUAGGACAUAGGAGCAUCAAUUAUUCUAGAAAAUCCUAUCUUUGCAUCUCAUCCCUACUAACAUGCAACAUCAACUCUCGCUAUACUUUGCACAGACUCUGACUUUGAAUACCCAAAUACGAAUCACUCCACUGACCACUGUUUGAUCAUCCAUCCAUAUCCAUACUUCCGUAGCUGAGGAGACCUUAUUAAGCUUUAUGAUCUCUAUGGUUUCGUGAACUUUCUUUGUUCUUGUUUCGCCGUCUUUCUGUUUCUUCUUUUAUUUGAGAAGAGA
rnacentral:misc_RNA from 1 species